GCCCUGGCUGGUGUGGCUCAGUGGAUUGAGCACAGGCCUGUGAAGCCUGGGGUCACCGGUUCGAUUCCCGGUCAGGGCA